UUUUUCCUCACCAAUCAGGCCCUGCAGUCUUACCCUCCAUGUCCCCUGAUUGGCCCCUUGGGUCACCUGGAGGGGGAUAAAGGGGCAGCGUGGCUGACUCAGAAGAGACUAGCAUGGGACCACAAGGAAGGAGUCUUAAAGAGCUGGUAAGAGGUGGAUAAGCAGCGUAGGAGCAGUUGCUCUAGAAAACCCUAAAAGAGUGGGACCUGCAGCCAGCAGUUGGACCCUCAGCAGUGUGGGUGGCAGGAGAGGCUUCCCGCUGGGCUCCAGGAUCCCCUAUGAGAGGGUGCGGCCAGCAGGAGAGGUUCCCAGUUCCAGCAAGAAUCUGAGCUGUGACCUGAGAGGUUCCCAGCUCUGCUUCCAGCUCCUCCAGCAAGAGGCCAGAAAGCUCAACGUGCGGCUGGGGCUCCUGGAAGGUCAAGACCCCUAGUAACUUGCUACAGUACCAGCACUGGUGGCUGUGUGGUAGAGUUUCUGCCUACCAUGUGGGAGAUCUGUGUUUAAGUCCCAGUUGGGACGAAAUGAAACUACCAGACGCUGUUCACCCCACUUGGAAGGCUUCUUCUACAUGGCAGGCUCUGCGGCUGCAAAUGGGGGAGAGGCACCAGUUGGCAGCCGGGAUGCCCCAUCAGGAUCACCAGCAGCCUCGGCUGGGGCCCUGUGGAUGCAUCGGCUCUGGCAGUGCUGAAUGCAGGACCAGACCUGGCUGCUGGACUGGCUGGUCAACUUGGCCAAAGAGUGCCUAGCAGACUCAUGGGCUUGGUGGGCAGAGGACAUUGCUAGUGAGGACACUAGGGACCAGUGUGAGGAGGCCAGAGACCAGUGCAAGGAAGAGAGGGACCAGCAGAGUGAUCAGGAGUUCAGAGACAGGCUUUUGCCCCUGGAGGAAUGGCACGUGCAGGCCUUGGAGUGGCAGGCUGUCCUGGUGGCCAUGGCAGUGGAGGCAACAAAGGAAGACUGCCAUUUCCUAGACACCAUCCUGGCCCUGGUGGUCACCUUCAUGCUACCUACUGCCCUGCCCCCAGCCCUAGCCUCACCUGCCCCCUGGCAGCUGCCCCUUGCCCAGAAGUAUGCCCUUCCCUCUCCCUUCCACCCCCACGUGGGCCUGAGCUGAGGUGCGGUGGCACCUCCACCAGCCAGGAGCCCCUGCCCUGGAUCCCCCGCCACCCAGCCCCCCUGGCUGGGCCCAGUCCAACUGCUUUCCCAAGCUCCAUACAGUCAUGGAGCAGGAGCUGCCUGCACCAGGGCCAAGACUUUGUGCAGGCCCUGCUAGCCCAGCCUGCGAGAGAUGGGCUUGCCAGCAGAGCAGCACCUGCUGUUGCCCCUGGGCAUGCCCCCUGGCCACCAGCCUUGCCAUGGUGCAUGCACCUAUGGAGCAGCAGUCAGAGGCCAGGGUACUGGGCACCUGUCCCUGCCCCCUAGGUACCCCCAGCCUAUGGCCCCCCACUCUGGAAGGGCACAUACACAGCUUGAACUGUAAAUAGUCUGCAUGGGAAAGAAGGUGUUGUAUUGUUGGUGGAUAGUAGAGGGGCUCUGUGCAGGG